rnacentral:lncRNA from 1 species
AAGGGAAGCAAAAGGCUGGGAUUCACUUCAGAUGGUGAUAGCACCAGCAGUCCUGCAUCUGGGACCUAAUGAAGAUGGAUAACUGCUGAGUUCUGCAGCUUUGUAAGCUGGCUGGAUUAACCUUUGUGAUAGUCAAGCAAUACAUAUUCAAGCUCACUGUACCUGUUCCCUGUAGGGAAAAUUGUUCCACCUGCCAGAAACCUCAGGAUUUUCAUCUCAUUUUCAUCUUCUCAAGGAAAACAUUUCAGGUAUUGACUCGUUACAGCACUGAUUCAGUAAAUCUGUGUAGUCUGAGAUUCUGUCCAUA